rnacentral:rRNA from 1 species
UACGUAGGGGGCUAGCGUUGUCCGGAAUCAUUGGGCGUAAAGCGCGUGUAGGCGGCCCGGUAAGUCCGCUGUGAAAGUCGGGGGCUCAACCCUCGAAUGCCGGUGGAUACUGUCGGGCUCGAGUGCGGAAGAGGCGAGUGGAAUUCCUGGUGUAGCGGUGAAAUGCGUAGAUAUCAGGAGGAACACCGGUGGCGAAGGCGCACAUCUGGCCCGAUACUGACGCUGAGGCGCGAAAGCUAGGGGAGCAAACGGG